GCUGAAGACUGGGGAGCAUCCAAAAACAGACAAGAGUUGAACAGAGUCCCACAAGAGAGAAAUCCAGGACAGCAAAAUCAGUUGAGUCCAAGAGACUGAAGCUGACAAGAGGUAGAAGGCUUGGUGGGGAAACCCACAAUCCAGGAACACAGCAGAAGAUAGAAGGCUUGGUGGGGAAACCCACAAUCCAGGAACACAGCACAAGCCAUGGAGGGAUGUGAGCCGAUGAUCUGGCAAUGAGUGACUGGAAGCACAGAGCUUAAAUACUGGAGGCUCAGAUUCCCACAAAGACUCACAUGGCUUCACACGCUCUGCUCCCUCAUGGACUCUGCUUCCCCACUUCUGGAUUCCUUUUUCCUCGACCCUUUUUCUCCGUCUUGUGAGUAUCCCUUCUUCGUUUAUUUUUGUUAAUCCAGUUUAGUAUUGGUUGACUUCCGUUUCUGUAUUCGUAGUGUUUGCUGGGUUUUGAAUAGUUGGGUUUAGUUUUGUUUCCCCAGUUCAGCUCUCCAUUUAUGUACUAGUUUAGUUAUCUUUUUAAAUGAAACUCUUUCCAUUAUUCACCUGUCUGCAAGUCUCUCAGUGUCUGUGCCUGCGUUGUCCAACUCAGGGCCCAAACCGUCCCUUAAAUAAUCCUGGGUCCGUUUCACGAAGCAGGUUCAACAAACUCUGUGUAACCCUGAACUCUGAGUUGAUCUACUCUGAGAUACGAAACUCUGACUUUUUGGUUUAACAACGGCUGAUUGGAGUUGGUUUAAUCAACUCGGAGUAGUUUCACCCAGAGUGCACCGCAACUAUAAAAAGACAGCAUCAAUGGAACCCCGAUUCGACGAGUCACCAUGGUGACGGGGAAGCGGAGAGCUACGUUUUUUUUACACCACUUGAACUGGACAUCUUAAUGCGUUCAUAUGGCGACUUCGAACACGUUUUUAGAAAGAAGUGCAACACCUGCAGCUGCAAAAGAGAGGGAGACGGCGUGGGAGAACAUUGUUGCCCGGGUCAAUGCGUAAGUUUAAAUCACAAUAAUAUUACAGCAAAACUGUUUAAUAGCAGCCUAUUCUGUUAUUUCAUUUAGGUGCAAUCCUGCGGGGGAGAAGCGCAUGUGGCAGCAGCUGAAGAUGAAAUAUAAGAACAUUGUUCAAACGGCCAACAGAAAGAAAGGAGAUGCCUGUAAAAAGGAGGUGGCCCAGCAGCACCACCUGUAACGGAGGCAGAGGAGCUGCUCCUAAGCCAGAAUUUGGGAAGGCCAGUGGCUGAGGGAAUCCCUGGAGGGAGCUCAUCCUCUGAGACCACAUCCCAAGACACAAGUGUGUGUGUGCGUGCGUGUGUGUUCAUGCGCCCACUGAACAUUUGCCAUAAGGAAGCACAGAGCACUGCAUUGUUUCUGCCUACGAGCGAGUGUGUGUGCAGCCACAGCGAUGGCAUGCGUGAAGGGGUGUGCUUUAAAGAUGGUGAGUUUAAUUAGAGAUGAAAGGGCUGAUUGUUUAAUUGAUGGAAGGUGGACUGUUCCAUCAGGCUGAAAUGUGUGCGUGUUGACUCUUCUACUGUAGAAAAACAGAAAAAGUGGAAAAAAGCUACAUUUUUUGAGAAAACUAGGACAGCAUCUUAAGAGACACAUUAUAUUGUCAUUUAAAAACAAAUGAUAAAUAUAAUUUGCUAAUUUGAUCAGUCCUUUAUUGAAGAAAACUGGCGUGGAGGUUCAGAUACACACAUCUGGAUGACAAAAAAGAUAUUUAAAUGAUUUUCUAGUGCAGAUCUUUGCCUGUAUUUACUCAUGCCGUGCUAUAGAAGUGAGCAGAUCAUCCCUGCUGUGUUUUUACUGCUCAUCUCUCAGCAGGUCUUCCUUUGCCCCCGUCUUCUCAAGGUGGCACCGAGUUCUACGAGUGCCUCUGAGACUCUCCUCUAUAAAAAAAAUGGAGCAGCACAAGCCCUUUUGACAUCACACUUUCUGCUACCAGGAGAUUAGAAAGUGAAGGUGGAGCACUCCGGAGAAAACGCUCUCGGUCUGUGCAUCUGUACUGAAGAUUUAAUCUCCACGCAACACUGAGUCAGAGAGGUUGCUGGAGGAUUAGUUUGUCUCACCUGCCGCUAAUGUGAUUAUUCCAGGCUAGCUGUAAAUUUCUGUAUAUAUUGUUUUAUUUAAUUUUGCCAUUUCAUUUUUCUUCCUGUUCCUCUUUCUAUAGUUUAUUUUUUAUUAUUCUCUUCCAUAUUCCUAGUGUGACACCAACAGCCGAAACCAAAUCCCUUGUAUAUUGUGUACUUACUAAAGCUGAUUCUGAUCACUUUUCUGUCUUUGGUCUAGGCAAGAGGAAAAGGUGCAACAGAAAAUUGGACCUUCCAAGCGUACUUGUGGAGAUGCAGGCUGAGGAGGAGCGGAACCGGCACCCAGCAUGAUGAGAACAUCUGGUUGCUCCUCAGCGAGGCAAGAGAGAAUGAAGCGGCCUUGCAGCGGGAGGAGAUGGUCCAGAAUGCUGCCUUCAACCAGUCAUUCCUGGGUGUACUGGGGCAGCUGGGGCAGGCAGUGGGCAGCCAGCGAGUCCACCUCCCAGAGACUUGAGAUUUAGUUGUAUAUAGUUUUACUUUUAGCCCUCCACUGUAGGAGAGGCCCACCACAGUUUGUACUUUGCACAUUGUAAAUGGUUUUGAUUUUGCUGCUGACUAAU
ensembl:lncRNA